UGCAUCUAAUAGGGAGUGGUUUCCACACCUUAUAAGGAAUGCUUCGUUCUCCUCUCCAACCAAUGUGGGAUUUCACAGGGAUUCCAGUGUUCUACCGCUAAUCUUUCUCUGGAACUUAUUCUCGAGGAGAUGCUUGAUUUACAAAGCUGAUAUACAGCAUGGGAUUGGCUUCUACUCCACAUCCCCCAACCUCUCCCCAUGAAAAUAUAGAAUUUAGUUAAAAUGAAGGAAAAAAAACUUGAGAAAAGAAUCUGAUCUUGGAUCUUUUGUUUGUUAACAGAUCAAUAUUUGAACAUUGAGAUUGUGUCAAGUAUGCAGGCACAACCACUGGUUGCCUUCUCUUUCUUUUUUCAGGGCAUAAUGAUCCUACAAGUUUUGGGUGUGGAAUCGAUAGUCUUCAGCUUGCUGCUACUUCAAGUUGGUUUACAGGUCAGUUAUGGAAUAAAGUGAGACCUCGUCACUGUCAACACUUUGGAUUGCGAUUGUAAGAGCCUAUGCCCACCGCUAGCAGAUAUUGUCCUUUUUGGCAAACGCGUUUGUUAGGAAAGACUGAAGCAAGAUGAAUUCAUCAUGCCAAUUCAACUUAAAUGUAUUGAAAACGAUGUUACCGCAUGGAAAUGAACAAACGCAAUUGGAGGAAGAGCCCCUAAUAAAGGGCCUAACGAAUUCCUAAGCCUACAGACGUGAUCUAUCUUUUUCUAUUUCUCACAUUCUCAGAUUUUCCAUGAAUGGGAGAAGCUCAUUAACCUUCACCGAUAUGACCUGACUGACUAGAUUGAACUGGAAACUCCUUGACUCCAUACUUUUUGACUA